UAAUAGUUAACAAUAUGUUGCCCUCACCGAUGCGCUACAAGCUAUAAAGAGAAUAGAGGUUAAAGAGAAGGAAAACUGCGACGACAUUACAUACUCUUCUGCUUUCUUGUUUUUUUUUCUUUUUCUUCAGACAAAAAAUUAUUUUUCCCUUGAAAUGUAAAUGUGAAUAGAUCAGAAUCCCAUUCUUCUUCUACUGUAUGUAAUGAUUACCACCACUCUAGUGUGUAGGCUUUCAGAGGAAAAAUGUGAAUUAAGGAGACAUGGUACACUGGUCCCUUGUAAUAUCAAAAACAUAAAGAUAGACUUUCAGAAGAAUAUAAUAGAGGUUUCUGCUUUAACUAUUUGAUGAUCUGCAAUAUCUCAAACCUCUUCACAUAUUUGAGCAAAUGCAAUCCACUUCUGCAUUAGGUUUUGAAAUUUUAGUAAAAACUGAUUGUUAUGCAUUUAAGUUGUUAUUGUGUUGCUUCUGAAGCUUACCCAACUCAAGAUUUGGCCUGUACACAGCGAGCUCUCUGUGGAACUGGUAUUUGUUAUUAGUUGAAGACUUUCAAUCUUCUUCUUUUUCUUAAGUAGAAGCAUUAAGGGUUAGAGAGUUGAUUCCAACUUACUUGGGGUUCAGACUUAGUUGUUAUUGUUGUUGUACAAGCAACACAGGUUGUAGAGAGAGGAAGGGGAUGGAGAAAAAGAUCUUUUGGGGUUGGCGGGGAGUACUCUCUCCUAUGUUCUUUUUUGAAUAGCGGAUCUUUUUUUAUCUCCGUCCAUAAUGUAGGUUAAUUGAUGAAACCUCGUUAAAUUUUGGUGCUUCCUUUAAUUUGGUACAUUUCUUUUUUGUGGUCUAAUUUACUGUCAUUCACGGGUUGCGUUGUUAUCUUCCAAAUGACAUGGUUAUUUUGAUUCUAAGAGGGAGGGAGGGGAUAUAAUAGAGGAGUCAUUGGAGCCUGGAUUAUUUUAGAGCAAUGCAAGUGAAGUUAGCCAGUUGCCUGUUUCCAAUCUUCCAAUGCUGAUGCAUAAAAGUCGGGCUUUGUACAGAAAACUUGAUAACAAAGAAAUACUAAAAGGAAACAAAGAGACAAUCUGUGUAUUUGUUGUUGUUUAGUAAGUCUUGCAUAAGAAAAUAACUAUAUUAGCUCUCUUGCUUAGAAUUGCAUAAACUUGUGCAGAUGGAGACCUUAUGUUUUGCCGGAGUUGUGGUACAACGUUGCUUUAGCCCUGGCCUUUACACAUGCAUUAUCAUGGGCAGCACAUGUAUCAUCAUUCAAUUGCACAUGCCAUUCUUUUUCUUUUUUUUUUCUUUUUUUUUUGCAGAAUCAAACCAUCCGACAACAACUCACUAUGAAAGUCUGAUACAAAUAUUUUUAUACUCUUUUUUUUUCAGCUAUUGAAUUUGAGGGGAGCCUUAGCGCAACAGUAGCACUGCUUCCUUGGUAGCUAGUAGGUCACUCGCUUGAGACGUAGAAAUAACUUCAUUUGCAUAAAUGCAAGAGAAACUUUGCAUACAUUAUACACGAUCUUUCUCUCCUCUUAUUGCUCUAGUUUUAGAACACUUGGUACACACUGGGUAAGCCUUUUUUUGGGCUGGAUAUUGCAUUUGAUUUUUUUGAAGGAGAUAAAAAUAAUGAUGGCCUAACGUAAAUGAAGUUAAUGAAAAUCAUCGGAAAUAGGAUAACAGUUCUAGAUAAAGACAACCAUAUGCUUAAUGCAUGGUCAGCAAACUCACUUAGUGUAUGUGUUAUUAGAGAGGGUAACAGUAACUGAUGAAAUAGUUAAGAUUUGCGUAAGUUACUCGAAUACCACGCUAUCUAAAAAAGACUUCCUUAAUAAAGAAAAAAACUUAGUAGAACAACAUUUCUUUUCUCUUUUUCUGUACAUGGUCAGCAAAGUUACUUAGUAUAUAUGAAUAAUUGAGGUUCGCGUAAGUUAGCUUAUUAGAAAAAAUGAUGGAGGACCAUUUUGUGAUCUAAAUUUAUACUACUGACUAUUCUAACAUACACAAUUAAAGCGCCGACCAAGAGGCAGCAACAUAACGACCCAACAUCCAAACAGAAACCCAAAAGAUUCCUAAAGAGAGAACUCAGUUAAGUUUCAUCAUAUUUUAUAGAGUUGGGUUCUCUUUGAUACCAACAGUCAAACUGAAAGUCAAACUUACAUCACAUGCAAUUCUUCUAAUUCAAUGAAAACACUUUCAGAGACAAAAAAUAAAAAGAACUGACCAUAUUAUUUUGUUUUUUCAUUUUUUCUAUUUUACCGUUCACUCUUCAAUUUUUUUUCCUUUCUGUUUUUGCUUUUAUUAUAAUGAAUACAAGUUAGUUGUUGACUUAGUAGUAUCUUUGAUCAAUCUGGAUAAACACAAAAAAAUUCCCUUAAAUCAAUCUGGAUAAACACAAAAAAGUUCCCAUAUGUGUCAAAAAUACAAUUUCCUUUGUUUAAACCAAGAGAUUUAAUCUCCUUACUAUACGGAUAAAAUUGCAAGACUCUAUCCUAUCUGCUUUCAACUGUUUUUUACCAUUCAAAGUAUUCUCCCGAAACAGCUAAAAUGGGAAAAUCAAGAUUUGAAAAAACAUAAUUACAUUUAUUAAGAGAAUCCAUCUAAGAUUCUGCCUAUUAAUUAAAAGGCUUUUGGUGGAGAUUAGAAAAGACAACUGCAAUUAUUAAGAUAAUCCAUUUAAAAUUCUAUCAAUUAAUUAAGAGACUUUUUUGCAUUAGCCUUUGCCUCCUCCCCUAUAUAUAGUGCAGCAUGCAAGACAUGGAGUACUACAAAAAUCUGUCCUUUCCUUAUAAACAUAUCCUAAAUACCAAUAGCUUAUUUUUUGAUUGAUCAAAGGUUUUAGAAAAAAAAGAAAAGAAAAGAAAAGAAGAUGUGUGGCACAGAGGCUUGUCUUAUCAAGUGUUCUCCAGUCCCUUGUGUGACUCCUGAAACAAGAGAAAAUGGCACUCUCAUCAAGUGGGAUACUCUUAUCAAUCUUGAUCAGUAAGUGUUCUUUCCCCAAUUUAUUGUUGUUAGAAUGUCCCACCCGAUUCUCCUCGCUCUAAAUAUAUAACUUAAACAUAGGGUGUCAGAAUGAGGGCAUUUCCACAAAUGACCUUGUUUCAGGCCAUUUUUCUGCAAAAGAAAAAAAGAUAUCCAACUACUACUUCUUAAGAAAAAAUUUAGCCCUAUGGACUAACAAGGAAAAGAAUUUAAAGAGUGGCACCAUAAUUUAAGGUGCAAGUAAUCCGUUAUAAUAUCCUAGUAGAGGAAAUGAACCGUCGUGGCCUUAUAUCGUCUUAUUGGUAAACUAGCUUUUGGGAUUGAGUUGUGCCAAAAUUUCAUUUUUUUACAAAUGUGAAUCCCCAGAAAUACUGAAAUCCUCAAAUUGUCACCUUCUUUGUUGGAAUAUACUAAUUUGGAAUUUCAUUUCUUGUGUAUAGUGGUGAUCCAGUAAUGUAUGAAUCAUACUGGCGAAAGAUGGGAAACAGGUGUGACAUUACAUUCAGUGGUUAUCAGUCAUUGAGUUAUUUUGCUAACGCCAAGAACUUGUGCUGGUUCCUUGAGCCAAAACUAGAAGAAGAGAUCAAGAGGCUGCACAAUGUGGUUGGAAAUGCAAUUGUGGAUGAUCAUUAUAUCGUCGUUGGGACAGGAUCAAGCCAGCUUAUACAGGCUGCACUCUAUGCUCUUUCUCCUACAGAUGAACCUGAACCAAUCAGUGUAGUUUCAGCUGCACCUUUCUAUUCGGUACGGUUAUUUUGUGAUUUACAAGUACCCUUACUGCACACUUUUAUUAUAUCUAUUUUUAUUAUUGGCUGGUGGGAUUAUUUUCAAUGUCAUGUCCAUCUUCUGUUCGGCCAAUUUGACAGUUAUUUUCAUGUAGCCAUAUACAAUACGGUGAUGAAGGGUGGUCAGUUGAACGCCCUUCAUCCGGUGUGUAUAUAUAUAAAAAGGUAUACUGCGUAUAUAGAUCAUAUAUAUUACCUUUUACAAAUUUAUAUUAAGUGUUGAAUACCCUUUAGUGAUAUUCCUGGCUUAUUAUUCAAUGUUUUGCCUCUCGAUAACCCAAAAUUUUCAGCCAUAUAUUGAUUUGGGUUCUCAUCAAGGCUAAUGAUCCAUUUUGACGUUGGAUAUUAUUUUUAACAUGUCUAGUGUAGAAUCUUUAAUUAACCAAUUAAAAGUCAACGAAACAAGAAAUUUAAUAAUAAUGCUUCAUAUAUGUACCCCUAACAAACCAUGUCUGUCGCUGAGACGCUUAUAAUGUAGGUCUAAGAAACAUAGGAACAUGGUCAUGCAAAGAUUUGCAAACAUGUUUACUAUAUUAGUACUUGUUGUUUAAUAAUUAACCACAUGGUUUUAGGUAUAAGUCAGAUCCAUUAUAACAUGAUACUCCAUUCGUUAUCAUAAUAAUUCUUAAACACGUGAUUAAUCUUUUUAAAAGUGAGGUUUAUUGAUAACUAACAAUUUUGUUGUUGGUAUUGACCUGCAGUCAUAUCCAGAAGUGACUGAUUUUGUGCGUUCAGGGCUGUACAAAUGGGCAGGAGAUGCAAGAAAUUUUGAGAAAGAUGGACCAUAUAUUGAGUUCAUUACAUCUCCAAAUAACCCAGAUGGGGUUACUCGAGAGCCUGUAGUUAAUGGAAUUCAAGGGAUAUUAAUUCAUGAUUUAGCUUAUUACUGGCCACAGUACACUGCUAUUACCUCUCCUGCCAAAUAUGAUGUUAUGCUCUUUACAGUUUCCAAAUGCACUGGCCAUGCUGGAUCCAGAAUUGGGUAUGUUUUUAAAAUUUGCAAUUUAGGUGAUAAUGACAAAAUUAAAGAGUAUUACAAAAUUUUCACACGUUUGGUAAAGUACUAAAAGCCGAAAGUAUUUAAAGUACUUUUACUUUUUUGUUACUGUUUUAUCCCUAAUAUCAUUUGAAAAUUUUGAAAUACCCAUUCCAAACAAAAUCACGGUUCGUUGUUCUUAUAAAGAUAUUUUCUAAUUUAUAUAUCAGACAUAAAUAACUUUAAGGAUGUUUUUGUCAUUUUAACAAAAAAAAAA
rnacentral:lncRNA from 1 species